rnacentral:rRNA from 1 species
UACGUAGGUGGCAAGCGUUGUCCGGAUUUACUGGGCGUAAAGAGCGCGCAGGCGGUCGUACAAGUCGCGUGUGAAAGCCCCCGGCUCAACUGGGGAGGGUCACGCGAUACUGUUCGACUCGAAGGCAGGAGAGGGAAGCAGAAUUCCCGGUGUAGUGGUGAAAUGCGUAGAUAUCGAGAGGAAUACCAGUGGCGAAGGCGGCUUCCUGGCCUGUUCUUGACGCUGAGGCGCGAAAGCUAGGGUAGCAAACGGG